GAUGACCAGAGAUGACGGGAGGCAGAUCCAGGACCAGUGCAUGACUCGUGAGACCAUGCAAUUAACACAAGAGCCAUCUCUCCAAGACCCCCGAUCUUAUGAAAGAUCAGAUCAAUAACCAAAUGAAAAGGUUUCUCUGGAUCUGGAGCUGCAUGUUUCUGAUCUGCUGUUGUCGGCCUCAGCGACCUCCAAAGUCUUCAUGUUCUCUCCUUCCUCUCUACCCUCAACCCAACCAGAAGGUUUUUAAACUUCCCAACAACAGGAAGUUUUU